CCAUGGCGAGGCUGACGCGCAAAGAGAAAUUCAGAAGUUUGCGCCUCGUUUGGCUAAGGCUUACGCCUCAGUGCGUUGUGACUCAAGGCAAAUCAAGGCCUACGCCUUGAUUUGAAUUUAAAACCCCCCAAGUAUGCGACAGGUUCUUCAAUUCAAGCCGAUCAACAUGUUCUCUCUUCUUCAGUUCGUGCGACUUCGACAGGUUCUCUCUCUUCUUAUUGUAUAAUGUAUUAUUAUUGUAUUAUAUUAUAUAUAUAUAAUUUUUUUUUAUUAUAAUUAUGGAUUAUUUUAUGAUUAUAUUAGCAUUUUUAUAUAAUUUUUUGGGAACUUUUAGGUUUCAAAUCGAGGCUUUCGCCUCGCUCUGCCUCGAAGCUUACGUCUUGUCCAGAGAAAAACGCGUCGUACCGCUUUAAGCUUUUUUGAACAUUGACUUGAAGACACCGAGUCCAUUGGGGAGGCAGAGAGAAGGGAGGGUUGCCAAUGUCGUGUGAAGUGCAGGAAGCCCAAAUCAUAUUACAUGCUCCCUCAGGGCAUAUCACUAACAAUACUGUCUGGCUUCUAGGAAUGACACGAGAAGUUUCUAAGGAUAUUGGUAGCACCAACUUCCUAGAUCCCCAGGCAGCUAAAAGAAUAAAAGCUACAUUAAAGGAGACCAAUGCCAUCACUGUAACUGCUGCAGAUGGAUUUAAGGUUUCUAGCCAUCAACACUGUCUAUAGCUGAUUUGGUCCAUACAAGGGAAAGAAUUUCAAACAGAGUUUAGAAUAUUGCCACUAUGGGGUAUAGAUGCAGUUUUAGGGGUCCAGUGGUUAAAGCUUUUUAAUUCAGUUACUUUUGACUUCCCGGAGAAAAGGAA
rnacentral:lncRNA from 1 species